CCUACGGGUGGCAACAGUGGGGAAUAUUGGACAAUGGGGGGAACCCUGAUCCAGCGACGCCGCGUGAGUGAAGAAGUAUUUCGGUAUGUAAAGCUCUAUCAGCAGGGAAGAAAAUGACGGUACCUGACUAAGAAGCACCGGCUAACUACGUGCCAGCAGCCGCGGUAAUACGUAGGGGGCAAGCGUUAUUCGGAUUUACUGGGUGGAAAGGGAGCGGAGACGGUGCAGCAAGUCUCAUGUGAAAGGUCGGGGCUCAACCCCGGGACUGCAUUGGAAACUGUUGAACUGGAGUGCAGGAGAGGUUAGCGGAAUUCCUGGUGUAGGGGUGAAAUGCGUAGAUAUUAGGAGGAACACCAGUGGCGAAGGCGACUUACUGGACUAUAACUGACGUUGAGGCUCGAAAGCGUGGGGAGCAAACAGGAUUAGAUACCCCAGUAGUC
rnacentral:rRNA from 1 species